CAAACACCUGCAGCCACAGUGGCCCUCUGAGGAAGAGUUUGUCCGAGCCCUGCUAAAGAUGUCCAGGUACACUGGUGGGUUCUUGACCAGGGUCAGCAGGCGGUUGUGGAUGUCCUUGAUGACCAUCCUCUGCUGAGGUUCUCUCUGCCAGCAGCCCUGCAUCAACAGAUGCCACAGAAAUACUGCGGAUUCUCCACAAAGCUGGACAGACCGGAGUCUUCGUCCGAUGAGGGUGGGCUGGAACCAAAGUUCAUGAAUCGAAGCGACACAGCCAGGUCGUCCUCCGUACCCAAAACUGAUGAUCCUAAUGGAAGGGGCAGAGUGGUAAACAACAGCCCCAACAGAUACACCGAGUCACCUAAUCAGUCUCCUGCCAUUUACAUUGAAAAGAAGUAAUUCUGAAGCCAUUUUUCCCCUCAUUCAAGGAGUCGCUGCUCUCCAACACCAACUUGGUUCCACAUUUGUUGGUACCAUGGUGACAGAUGAUGACAAACUCUAAUAAUCACCAUCAUCAGCCGUGCGGCAAUCAAGCUGCAUUGAUGUGAAAAAAUAGAGGCCAUAUAGGCAGCCUGAAUGGUUAGCAACCCCUGACUACAGUGCAUAUUAAAUGCCAAACAAGCAGGGUCCAAAUUGUAAAACUCCACUCAGCAAGGCAAACCACAGAACCCCCAGAGUCCAACACGAUAGAAAAUGGAACAACAAAGAGAGCACAGAGGCGAUGGAGGGAAGGAAACAGGGAGCAGGGUCCACUUAGGCAAUCAGACCCACUUAGGCACUUUGGUAGUGAGAAGGCUAAGUGUGUGUGUGUGUGUGUGUGUGUGUGUGUUUUGGGAAUGGAGCGUUGGGCUAGAGGUAGUUUCUCCAGCAUCCAUAUAUUCACCCACCCAUCCAUCAAUCUUCUUUAAUAACCCUUACCACAUGGUGGUGGUGGCUGAGGCAGGUCGAACCACCAUCUUGUAAUUAAGGCACUUUAGCCCGACUGACAUGUGCAGCUUUGGCUGGAUGUGUGCACAGUAGUUCUACAUCCGCAGGUAAAUCACAGCUUAGCUGGUCUCCUCAUCCGUUCACCUCUGUGAGACUGACAGGACCAGGUGUGAGCUAAAAGUACUGUAUAAUUUGGCAGGAUUUCUGAUUAUGAGUCAUUUGCGAUUCUGCUCAGAAAUGUGCUCCUAAAGAACACGUGGUUCUAAGACAAAGUACAAAGUACACGUUUUUGGUAUUCACAGGUCAUGGACUAUAAAGCAGUGCAGGGUUGAUUACAAACUGGGGAUUCAAACUGAAUCAGAAAGAACAGUAUGACACUGAGCCAACGCUGAAAAAUUGGUCAAAGCUGGCAACAAACACCGGCUGGUUUUGGCCCACGGGCCGUAUGGUUGACCCUGAUCGAGGACAUAAAAGCAUCAGAAGAGUCAACAACAGCAAGUUCCCAAAAAACAACACAAACGCAAGAGAGCACAAUCAAAUGUAUAGCGUACAGCUGGCAAAUGUAAAUGAAGUCGUCGUCUGCAUAUAGUGUCAUGUGACAGUCCAUCUCCUCCAAACACCGACUAGUUCCAGUGCGAACGCCCUACGUCAGAAUGAUGGACUUACACAAUACAUUUAUGGGAGAUGGCGACAUGACCACGAAACGCUGUAGGUUGAGGUCCAUGUAAACCAAGGACCCCGUGUGUAUAGUACAUAAAUAUUAACCAUUCGACCAAUAGAUUCUACAAAAACAUGUAUACAAGUAUAAAAACAAACAUAAUUAUAUAGAAACAUUUAGUAAAUGUAUAUUUUUGU